GAUGAACGCUGGCGGCGUGCCUAAUACAUGCAAGUCGAGCGAACGGACGAGAAGCUUGCUUCUCUGAUGUUAGCGGCGGACGGGCGAGUAACACGUGGAUAACCUACCUAUAAGACUGGGAUAACUUCGGGAAACCGGAGCUAAUACCGGAUGAUAUUUUGAACCGCAUGGUUCAAAAGUGAAAGACGGUCUUGCUGUCACUUAUAGAUGGUUCCGCGCUGCAUUAGCUAGUUGGUAAGGUAACGGCUUACCAAGGCAACGAUGCAUAGCCGACCUGAGAGGGUGAUCGGCCACACUGGAACUGAGACACGGUCCAGACUCCUACGGGAGGCAGCAGUAGGGAAUCUUCCGCAAUGGGCGAAAGCCCGACGGAGCAACGCCGCGUGAGUGAUGAAGGUCUUCGGAUCGUAAAACUCUGUUAUUAGGGAAGAACAUAUGUGUAAGUAACUGUGCACAUCUUGACGGUACCUAAUCAGAAAGCCACGGCUAACUACGUG
rnacentral:rRNA from 1 species